rnacentral:rRNA from 1 species
AGAGUUUGAUCCUGGCUCAGAAUCAACGCUGGCGGCGUGCCUAACACAUGCAAGUCGAACGAGAAAGUGGAGCAAUCCAUGAGUAAAGUGGCGACCGGGUGAGUAACACGUGACUAACCUACCCUCGAGUGUGGAAUAACAUCGGGAAACCGAUGCUAAUACCGCAUAACAUCGCAAGAUCAAAGGAGCAAUCCGCUUGAGGAGGGGGUCGCGGCUGAUUAGCUAGUUGGCGGGGUAACGGCCCACCAAGGCGAAGAUCGGUAGCCGGCCUGAGAGGGCGCACGGCCACACUGGAACUGAAACACGGUCCAGACUCCUACGGGAGGCAGCAGUGGGGAAUUUUGCGCAAUGGGGGAAACCCUGACGCAGCAACGCCGCGUGGAGGAUGAAGCCCCUUGGGGCGUAAACUCCUUUCGACCAAGACGAUAAUGACGGUACUGGUGGAAGAAGCACCGGCUAACUCUGUGCCAGCAGCCGCGGUAAUACAGAGGGUGCAAGCGUUGUUCGGAAUUAUUGGGCGUAAAGGGUGCGUAGGCGGCGCGGUAAGUCACCUGUGAAAUCUCCAAGCUUAACUUGGAGCCUGCAGGCGAAACUGCCGUGCUGGAGUAUGGGAGAGGUGCGUGGAAUUCCCGGUGUAGCGGUGAAAUGCGUAGAUAUCAGGAGGAACACCUGUGGCGAAAGCGGCGCACUGGACCAUAACUGACGCUGAUGCACGAAAGCUAGGGGAGCAAACAGGAUUAGAUACCCUAGUAGUCC